rnacentral:rRNA from 1 species
CAGCAGCCCGAGUGGUGGUCGUUUUUAUUGGGCCUAAAACGUCCGUAGCCUGUUUAGUAAAUGCCUGGGUAAAUCGUGUAGCUUAACUAUACGAAUUCCGGGUAGACUGCUAAACUUGAGACCGGGAGAGGCUAGAGGUACUCCUGGGGUAGAGGUGAAAUUCUGUAAUCCUAGGGGGACCACCAGUGGCGAAGGCGUCUAGCUAGAACGGGUCUGACGGUGAGGGACGAAGCCCUGGGGCACAAACCGGAUUAGAUACCCGUGUAGUCC